AUGAAUGUGCCAACGACAUCAUUCAAGUAUACGAGUUUGAAGGACAUCAUGUAUUUGAAUUCCAACAUGAAUGAGGUCACAUUAAAAAAUCCUCUUCUAAAACAAGCUGCGAUAGCAUAUCUUCGACCAUUGUCCAAUUUAACUGGACAAGAUUUUGGUAAAAAUAAUAAGGGCUUUUUUUACAAGUGUUUCAAAUGUGGCGGCCCUGGCGGCACGAUUUCUGGAUGUUUUAAUUGGAUUGAGGCUUUUAUUAGGUUCAUUUGUGGUAGAAGCAUAGACAGAGAAGAAGAUGAAGAUAAAUUUGAAUGA